rnacentral:lncRNA from 10 species
GGAAGACCAGGUGCCAAGAGGUGGCAGAAAGAACAGAAUGACUCAACUCCCAUUUUGAUUCAACUUUCCUGCCAAGGAGAAUGAUUUUCAAGCUACUCAUGGUAGAAUAAGCCCUGCUAUGUGGGAACUGCUGCUUGGUACUGGUAGACAGGGCUCCUUCACCCUUUAAAGGAGUUCCCAUUCCAAGUCCAGGUGAGGGACAGGCUAUAGCUCUGAAAGCUUCCACCUGUGAUAUGUGAUCACAGAUCUCUGCGGGGAGGAUCAAUUCACACAGACAAUGAGAAAGAAGCUGAAGGAGGUAGACAGCUAUUCCGAUUUGCAAAGAUAAGAGAUGGGGGGCGGGGCAAAAUUUGUGAUGACGUUAUUGAACAGUUUGUGAGCACUUAAAAGAGAAAAUGAUGAACUACAAGAGUUAGAAUGGGAUCCUGAGGGCCAAUUCCAGAAAUUCAGUGGGGCAUCUUGACUUCUGCAAGGCAGCUAGUAGAAUGGAUGUGGUGGAGAGCAUGCAACGGGUCUGCACCUGGAGACUCCCACCUAAGAUGGGGGUUUAGAUGAGACCACUCUGGGAGGACACGCAGCCGAGUGUGGAGGCCCCGAGGAAGAUCAGCUCUGAAGACACAGGCAGGCAAAGGGCAGACCUCGAAGGAGAUGGAGGAGGAAUGACAGAGGGCAAGAAGAAUCAGGUUUACUGUCUGCCAGGCUGCCAAACCCCAACCCUCGCCACAUCCGCAGCCACCACGUAAAGUGACUGUUAGAACUUCAAACGAAGGAUCUGACCCCCGGAAAUGGCCUCAUGCUAGUUUUUUCCUAAACAGUCACCAGGAAAAUGACGGAAGGCAAAUCGAAACGCAUGCCCUGAAAGACUUAGAACAUAACCAUCACAUCUGGGGGACAAGAAGCCCACCCCAACUUAAUUUAAAAAGGAAACACAGCAGAUGUCAUCAGUUGGCAGGGAGGUGUCUUGAAGGAAAGAAGGAGGGGAAUGAGAGGGCUGUGGAUCACCAUGCAGCUUUACCUUAACACCUGCAUCUCCUCGGGGGAGCAUUGCAUCUCGUCCUGGAGGCGACGCCAGCGCAGACAAGCCCUCAGCUCCUGCUGCUCCCGGGCCUCAUAGGGGGCCAGCUGCUCAGCCACAGACACACAGACACACAUGCACAAAACACAGUCACUGUUGUGGUCCUGGUGCAAUGGCUCACUUUGUUUCAAUGGGGGACAAGAUAGCCUGCCCCUGCUCUCACCUUGCUUCCAUCAGAAACCUAAAGGCCACUGGAGCCUCUUAGUGCCUAAAACAAAAAACCAACCGUGCACGCUCGCUUGUGCUGCUGGCCGUGGAGCUGGGCCUGCUGUUUGGCGGAGGUCGCCUUGUUCUGGAACCCACCCAUCCCACCGACACACACCUGGUCUGGAGAGAGUGGGCUUCCCUUGGGACCAUUUCCACUUUGAUCUGUCCUCUUUUCCUGCUUUGUCUUUCUGCACAGGAUGGGGAAGGCCCCACCGUUCACCUCCGAUUUUCCCCAGCCCUCAAUUUUGUUAAGGACUGUUUCCAGCGGGGCCUGCUAAUGCAACCCAGAUGAUUCUGUGUGCACAUAACUAGAAGUGCUGCCUGGACUCACUCUGGGGGAGGGGAGGCCAUCACACUCUGCCCUACUGAGUCAGAACCAGCUGCCGUCCCAUGGUGUGCUCACUGGGCCACACGGCCCCGACCUCUGUGAGGGAAGGCAGCAGAGCACCCACUGGGGAGGGAAGACGUCUAUCCACGGGUGUUUCUGGAAAUCAAACUUUCCUGAUAAUUCGUUCAACAGAUAUUUACUGAGUCUCUGCUAGGCCAUGGGGACAUUACAGACAGGGCCUGGGGCAGCAGCCAGGGGAGGGAGAGAUGGGCAGGAACACUAACAUCAGAGAGCAGGUGACGGGAGAGGUGAAGGGAGAACCCAGAUGCCCCCUUGCCCACCAGGGCUUCCUGAGGAGGUGGUGGUGACAGCACUGAUCCUCAGGGAAGGAGGAGUCGGCCGGGGAGGAGGGAUUUCGGGAAGAGCACUUGCAAGGCACGUCGGGCCAGGAAGUGUGUGAUGUGCUUAGAGAAUGGCAAGGCAUAUGGUCAGGCCUGGAGCAGACUACCAUUCUGGGAGGGAGCAAGGUGCAGGGAAGCUGGCAGAGGCCAGACGAUCCUCAGACCCCAUGUGCCUGCUGUUAUGGACUAAACUGUGUCUCCACAAAAUAUAUGUGUUGAAGGCCUUACCCCGGUGUGACUGUAUUUGGAGAUAAGGCUUUCAAGGAGGUCAUUAAGGUUAAGUAAGUCAUGAGUGGGGCCCUAAUCCUACAGGGCUGGUGUUCUUAUAAGAAGAGGAAGAGCCAACAGAGCGUACUUUCUCUCUGCAUGCACAGAGGAAAGGCCAUAUGAGAACGCAGAGAAAAAGCAGCUCGUGGCCACCUGCAAGCCAGGAAGAGUGAGGGGCCUCACCAGAAACCAACCCUGCUGGCACCUUGGUCUUGGACUUCCAGCCUCCAGAACUGUGAGGAAUAAACGUCUGUUGUUUAAUUCACCCAGUCUCUGGUAUUUAUUAUGGCAGUCCAAGCAGACUAAUAUGUCUGUGAAGGCAUUUAGACUUUCUCCAGGUUGAUGACAAGUUACACCAUCCAACCUUGCGACUGACUUGAU